rnacentral:rRNA from 1 species
GUUUGAUCAUGGCUCAGAUUGAACGCUUGCGGCAGGCCUAACACAUGCAAGUCGAACGGUAACAGGAAACAGCUUGCUGUUUCGCUGACGAGUGGCGGACGGGUGAGUAAUGUCUGGGAAACUGCCUGAUGGAGGGGGAUAACUACUGGAAACGGUAGCUAAUACCGCAUAACGUCGCAAGACCAAAGAGGGGGACCUUCGGGCCUCUUGCCAUCAGAUGUGCCCAGAUGGGAUUAGCUAGUAGGUGGGGUAACGGCUCACCUAGGCGACGAUCCCUAGCUGGUCUGAGAGGAUGACCAGCCACACUGGAACUGAGACACGGUCCAGACUCCUACGGGAGGCAGCAGUGGGGAAUAUUGCACAAUGGGCGCAAGCCUGAUGCAGCCAUGCCGCGUGUAUGAAGAAGGCCUUCGGGUUGUAAAGUACUUUCAGCGGGGAGGAAGGGAGUAAAGUUAAUACCUUUGCUCAUUGACGUUACCCGCAGAAGAAGCACCGGCUAACUCCGUGCCAGCAGCCGCGGUAAUACGGAGGGUGCAAGCGUUAAUCGGAAUUACUGGGCGUAAAGCGCACGCAGGCGGUUUGUUAAGUCAGAUGUGAAAUCCCCGGGCUCAACCUGGGAACUGCAUCUGAUACUGGCAAGCUUGAGUCUCGUAGAGGGGGGUAGAAUUCCAGGUGUAGCGGUGAAAUGCGUAGAGAUCUGGAGGAAUACCGGUGGCGAAGGCGGCCCCCUGGACGAAGACUGACGCUCAGGUGCGAAAGCGUGGGGAGCAAACAGGAUUAGAUACCCUGGUAGUCCACGCCGUAAACGAUGUCGACUUGGAGGUUGUGCCCUUGAGGCGUGGCUUCCGGAGCUAACGCGUUAAGUCGACCGCCUGGGGAGUACGGCCGCAAGGUUAAAACUCAAAUGAAUUGACGGGGGCCCGCACAAGCGGUGGAGCAUGCGGUUUAAUUCGAUGCAACGCGAAGAACCUUACCUGGUCUUGACAUCCACGGAAGUUUUCAGAGAUGAGAAUGUGCCUUCGGGAACCGUGAGACAGGUGCUGCAUGGCUGUCGUCAGCUCGUGUUGUGAAAUGUUGGGUUAAGUCCCGCAACGAGCGCAACCCUUAUCCUUUGUUGCCAGCGGUCCGGCCGGGAACUCAAAGGAGACUGCCAGUGAUAAACUGGAGGAAGGUGGGGAUGACGUCAAGUCAUCAUGGCCCUUACGACCAGGGCUACACACGUGCUACAAUGGCGCAUACAAAGAGAAGCGACCUCGCGAGAGCAAGCGGACCUCAUAAAGUGCGUCGUAGUCCGGAUUGGAGUCUGCAACUCGACUCCAUGAAGUCGGAAUCGCUAGUAACCGUGGAUCAGAAUGCCACGGUGAAUACGUUCCCGGGCCUUGUACACACCGCCCGUCACACCAUGGGAGUGGGUUGCAAAAGAAGUAGGUAGCUUAACCUUCGGGAGGGCGCUUACCACUUUGUGAUUCAUGACUGGGGUGAAGUCGUAACAAGGUAACCGUAGGGGAACCUGCGGUUG